rnacentral:rRNA from 1 species
UACGUAGGGGGCGAGCGUUGUCCGGAUUUACUGGGCGUAAAGCGCGUGUAGGUGGUAGUGUCAAGUCGGUUGUGAAAACUGCAGGGCUCAACCCGCAGCCUGCAUCCGAAACUGCGCAACUAGAGGAACGAAGAGGGAAGUAGAAUUACUGGUGUAGCGGUGAUAUGCGUUGAUAUCAGUAGGAAUACCCGUGGCGAAGGCGGCUUCCUGGUCGUUUCCUGACACUGAGACGCGAAAGCAGGGGGAGCAA